UGCAGUUAUGUCAAAUUCAUGUCAUCCCUGAUGUUUUCUUUCUUCAGUGGCUGCAAGAGGAAGAGGCCGUGGUAUGGGCCGUGGCAACAUCUUCCAGAAGCGAAGAUAAUUUUGGUCUUGAACAACA